rnacentral:rRNA from 1 species
UGGGGAAUAUUGCACAAUGGGCGCAAGCCUGAUGCAGCAACGCCGCGUGAGGGAUGACGGCCUUCGGGUUGUAAACCUCUUUUAGUAGGGAAGAAGCGAAAGUGACGGUACCUGCAGAAAAAGCACCGGCUAACUACGUGCCAGCAGCCGCGGUAAUACGUAGGGUGCGAGCGUUGUCCGGAAUUAUUGGGCGUAAAGAGCUCGUAGGCGGUCUGUCGCGUCUGCUGUGAAAACCCGAGGCUCAACCUCGGGCCUGCAGUGGGUACGGGCAGACUAGAGUGCGGUAGGGGAGAAUGGAAUUCCUGGUGUAGCGGUGGAAUGCGCAGAUAUCAGGAGGAACACCGAUGGCGAAGGCAGUUCUCUGGGCCGUAACUGACGCUGAGGAGCGAAAGCGUGGGGAGCGAACAGGAUUAGAUACCCUGGUAGUCCACGCCGUAAACGUUGGGCGCUAGAUGUGGGGCACCAUUCCACGGUUUCCGUGUCGCAGCUAACGCAUU